UGGGGAAUCGUUCCGCAAUGGACGAAAGUCUGACGGAGCAACGCCGCGUGAGUGAAGAAGGUUUUCGGAUCGUAAAACUCUGUCUUUUGGGGCGAACGUGAGUAUGGUGAACAAUCAUAGUCAGUGACGGUACCAAAGGAGGAAGCCACGGCUAACUACGUGCCAGCAGCCGCGGUAAUACGUAGGUGGCAAGCGUUGUCCGGAAUUAUUGGGCGUAAAGAGCGCGUAGGCGGGAUAGUCAGUCUGUUGUAAAGUGCGGGGCUCAACCCCGUGAUGGCAAUGGAAACAGCUAUUCUUGAGUGCAGGAGAGGAAAGUGGAAUUCCCAGUGUAGCGGUGAAAUGCGUAGAUAUUGGGAGGAACACCAGUGGCGAAGGCGACUUUCUGGACUGUGUCUGACGCUGAGGCGCGAAAGCCAGAGGAGCGAACGGGGAUUUAGAUACCCCCGGUAGUCCUGGCCGUAAACGAUGGGUACUAGGUGUGGGAGGUAUCGACCCCUUCCGUG
rnacentral:rRNA from 1 species